rnacentral:snRNA from 1 species
GCUUUCAUCAUAACAGAUUCUCAC